UUAACACAAGAGUAGUAUAUAGAGAUUGCCCCUUUAUUGAUGGGAUGCCGAUUCGAAUCCUGACUAUUGUGUUAAUGCAUCCAGAUAACUGGGUGCUUUUAAAA
rnacentral:sRNA from 1 species